CGCUGGGCCUGCGCAGUGGGCCGGAGUCGUGCGCCGCCGCGCCCAGAAACGGGCCUGUUUUCAGCCCGCACCGCCAAGCGCCUACUGUGUGCAAGGAGCGCGAGCGGAGGGCGCCGGGCCGGGGGCAGGGAGCCCUCGCUUGGAGGACUCUUUGAAUAGUGCUCCCUAGCUGGGGCCGGUUUGCGCUGGGCUGCCUUAUGGAGCCUCACCGCCUGCAGAGAUGACGAGGACCGUGCGUACACCUACUGGGUGCCGGCUUGUGCUGUGCGCCCUGGGGAGGAGAAACGUCGAGCCUGACCCCCAGGAGCUCCUGUUCUCCCCAGGGAGAGGACAGUAAACCGAUGAGAAUGACCCUAAGAGUCACUGUAAGAUUUGGACCCCUCUGGCUGCAGGUGGGCGAUGGCCUCAGGGACUGUGCAGAGGCAGGAGACCAGGGAGGCGGUGACUGCGAUAGUUCCGGUCGGAGAGGAUGGAGGCAGACCAGGGUGACCACGGAGCAUGGAGCCUGCAUCUCGCCAGUGCAUCUCUUAAAUGAACGUAUGGAUGAGUGCAUGAUGGGGAGCCGUGAGGUCCAGCCCUGCACCUGGAAAAAGGCACAAAGACCACACUCAAGCCUGGGUGGAAGCAUCGUCCAAAUGCAGUGGAAAAAUUUAUGGCCAGAGGAACUAGUUCCAAACCUGGCCCUUCUCCUCGCUUGCUGUGUGCCCCUGGAUAACCCACGUGCCCUCUCUGGGCCUGACACUCCUUGGUUGCAAACCAGGCUUAGCAAAUUCAUGGACUCUGUGCAAUUUAAAGAUUUUCAUUGCUCUUUGCAAUUCUAUUUCUAGAAAUCCAUUCCCAGAGAAAUUCUCACCUCACACCCCAUGAACACAGGUACAAGGAUGUAGCUUGGUUUGUGGAGUAAAACCCUGGA
rnacentral:lncRNA from 1 species